AUUGAACGCUGGCGGCAGGCUUAACACAUGCAAGUCGAGCGAGCGGCGGACGGGUGAGUAAUGUCUGGGAAACUGCCUGAUGGAGGGGGAUAACUACUGGAAACGGUAGCUAAUACCGCAUACAUUCGGAUGGCCCAAGAUGGGAUUAGCUAGUAGGUGGGGUAAUGGCUCACCUAGGAGACGAGCCCUAGCUGGUCUGAGAGGAGGACCAGCCACACUGGAACUGAGACACGGUCCAGACUCCUACGGGAGGCAGCAGUGGGGAAUAUUGCACAAUGGGCGCAAGCCUGAUGCAGCCAUGCCGCGUGUGUGAAGAAGGCCUUCGGGUUGUAAAGCACUUUCAGCGAGGAGGCGUUACUCGCAGAAGAAGCACCGGCUAACUCCGUGCCAGCAGCCGCGGUAAUAC
rnacentral:rRNA from 1 species